UACAGAGGGUGCAAGCGUUGUUCGGAAUUAUUGGGCGUAAAGGGCGCGUAGGCGGUGCUGUAAGUCUGUGGUGAAAUCUCUGGGCUCAACUCAGAGUCUGCCAUAGAAACUGCAGUGCUGGAGUGUGGGAGAGGUGAGUGGAAUUCCCGGUGUAGCAGUGAAAUGCGUAGAUAUCGGGAGGAACACCUGUGGCGAAAGCGGCUCACUGGACCACAACUGACGCUGAGGCGCGAAAGCUAGGGGAGCAAACAGG
rnacentral:rRNA from 1 species